rnacentral:lncRNA from 1 species
GUAAAGUUUUUUUUUUUGCUGAGCUAUGCACAGUUGAAUUUAGGGAUGUCAAAUGGACUCAGCUGAAACAAAGCAUAUAUAAAAAAAUAUUGGAUAAGCCUCACUAGUUCAUCCAUAUGAAAACUGUGACGAUCCAUACAUGCACGUUUUUGUCCUAUAUUAGCUGAGUAUAUCUUCAAUAUUUAUAUAUUGCUAUAAAAUUUAAAUGACACUUUCUAAUUAAUCUUUUUAUGUGGGGUCUUAGGUAGUUAUAAAUAGUAUUAGAGCAUGCAUAGUCUAUAGCUCAUUUCGAUCGAUUACGUAUUGAUAAUUGAAUUUAUAGUACUUGUGAAUAAAUUUAAAUGAUUUAGAAUCCUUUGCUUAGCCAGGAUAUCAAGGGUAAAAUGAGAGAAGCAUGGAAAAACUCAAGCUAUGUGUUAUGGUUAUGCAUUGGGUAUAUCUUGGAUGUUGUUGUCGCAAAGCUCUGAAAGAAAAAGGACGAGAUCGGUGCGAAAUCGAACUGGAAUGCUGUUAAAGACUAAGUCAAUGCAAAUUACAAGUAAACCUGUAAAAGAAAUUCUAGAUCUGGUGGGGUAUCAUUUGGUUUAGGAUCUUUCGAUGCUUAAGUCGGUCGGGAUCUUGAGAACAAAUGAUAGAAAAGAAAAAACUGGAAGGCAAGAAGAGGGAUUUGAAUGAACAGAGUGAGGAUUCUUAUUCCCUUCAAUGGGGGAGCUGAAAGAGAUUUAGUAGUCUUAGCUCUAUAAGUUCUAACUUACCUCGUGAAGGAUAUCCUGUCCCUCUCUAUAUAAAGGGAGUUUGCUUAGGCCGUUAGGAGAGUUUGUGAGAUUGUUAGUUUGUUAUAAUAGAAUAGCCAGCUGUAUGGAGAUCGUGGAUUGUUUAUCCAUGUGGAGAUUAGCUAUACUAUCGCUAGAAGAUAACUGUUGUCGAGUUGAAUGACAGCUAUAAGAUAACCAUUGGUGUUUUAAGGUCACAUUGGUUCUAGACCAAUGUCUCUUAUAUCGAGAUCGGUAAACAAUCGAGCUGAUCAUGUUUUAUCAGGAACCAACUCUUGUCCAUUUAGAUCAGCAUAGAGUUGAGCUAAAAGUUAAGACAAAUCAGACUUAGCUGACUUAACUUGAAAGCAUACUUAUAAUUCAGAUAACUCUGAUAUUGCCAAAUGGCUUGGUGAUG